GGGCGGCGCUGGCGCAGGCGCGCGCCGGUCUCGAGCCGGCCGGGGCCCGGCUGUUCGACCAGCUCGGCGCGCU
rnacentral:tRNA from 1 species